CGCGGGCCGGCGGCGGCGCCCUUUCGGCCCGGACUUACUCAGGACUGGGUUGCACAACAGGAAACCAGCGCGAGUUUGUUUUGUUUUGCUGCGCUAGCUCGCGGACUGGGCCGAGGGCUGGGGUCAGAGGCGGCCGGAGAGUGGCGGGGUCGCAGCAGCGCACCCCAGCCGGUCCCUGUCGCCUCCCCGCUCAGACCCGCCCCUCCGCUGGGGGAGCCUGGUGACUCGGGCCUGGGACCUGGGGCGGGAGGGCAGCCGGGGUCAGAUAAGCGCUGCUCUCCUCCAGCCCUGCCCCAGGCGUGUCUCCCCGUCCAGUGGGUCCCCAGCACCUCUCCGGAUCUCGCAAGUCCUCCUCCCGCCUGGAGAGGCCCACGCCCCUCUGCUGCGUCUUCCCCACCCCGCGGCUAGGCUUCCCGUGCAUCUGGGAGGCCCGGAUCCCCCGGAGCAUCUGAACUCCGGCCUGGGGCCUGGGGUGGAGGGUACUUCCGGAAUCACGGGGAGCAGCAUCUGUGGGGACGGGACUCUUGUAACUGCGGCCCCCCUUUGCAGAGAAAAGGGCUUUGCACCGUCUGGUCACGUACUUCCAGAACCUCAGUAUCUCCGCGGAGUUUGGGUCCGGCUGGGUGGGGGGAGGGGUGUACCGCAGCUCCCCCCAGCGGACUAGUUCCCUUUGGGAAAAGGACCGGGGAAUAUCAAGUAUAGACGGUGAACGCUGGAAGGGACCUUGGCGAUGGAUGGGGUCACCUGUGAACGGGGAAACCGAGAGCCAGAGACUCGCAGGGUUUUGUCCAGUCGCUCACAGCCGGUUGGUACCGAUGCCGGACACACACUGCAGUUUCCUAGUUUCCAGCGCAGAGAGCGUUUCUUGGCCUGAAGGCUAAUAACCCACACCAUGGAUAACUUAUUGGACUUUGCCUGAAAGGACUCAUUAGUUCCAUUGGAUACUUGACCAUCCUGGCCACGGGUUUUUUCAGAAUGAAUGGAAGGUCAUGCAGCAUGAGUCUCCACCGGACAUCAGGAAGCCCGCAGGGGCCUGGGAUGGUCAGUGGCCAACACAUUCCUCCCAUCCGAGCCCACUCUGGGACUCCUGGCCCCUCGUCCUGUGGCAGCACGUUGAGCUCUGCCAUCGGAAGCCUUGCUAACAGCCUGCAUCUCAAGAUGCCCUCGGGAGGAGGGCUGGCUCCUCAGAGCAGCAUGGCCGAGAGCCCCCUCCGUCUGCCCGCCUUGAGCCCCCGGAGACAAGUGCUCACCAAUGGGAAGCCACGAUUCCAGGUCACCCAGGCUGGAGGCAUGUCAGGGCCACACACUUUAAAGCCAAAGCAUCAGGAGUUUGGAAGUCCUUUUCCUCCAAAUCCUGGGAAAGCUGACCUUGUGAGUACACACUGAAAUUUGAGAAGCACUGUUGGAGGAGAAACAUGGUGGACCCUGGACUCAGAAGACCCACGCUCUUCUUCAAGCACGGCUGGCGUGUGACCUCGGGGAAGCCACUUGUCUACCCUGCCUCGGUUUCUUCAUGUGUAAAAUGGAGUGGCGAGUGAAGUUUUAUCCCUCUUUCCAAAUGGGCAGGGUCUAGGCAGAGGGCAGACCUGGCCACGUAGCCUUGAGGAGGAGUGUGGCCAGGGAGCGUCUCAUCUUUGGCUUUGGUUUCAUGAUGCUGAUGAACAAAGCUGGACGUUAUGGGUGGAGGUAGGGGGCAGGGCUCACAAUGGGGGAGAAGGCCCAGAAUCGGUCUUCGAAUCCAUGGUAGUGGGUGGCAGGCGAGGGUCAAGACACUGAGGCAGGCAGGUUCUGGGGAUCUCAGGUAGAGAGAAGGUGAGCUUCAGGGAACUUGUGAGCAAAUGCAUCGGCUUUCCAGGUGUCGCCCAGCUGUGUGGCAGGCAGCAGGCAGCUUGUGAGAUGCGGGGGUAGAAAAUGGUGUUUGCUUUUGAGAGUCACAUUGGAUGGUAAGCGUGAGAGUGCAUUUUAUACCGCGGAGUGCCAGGGGCGUCCCUUUUACUCUGCUCCCCGAUUGUCCAUCAGUGCGGGGCUGUGCGGGCCUCCAUAAACCACAGCGACGGCUGCUGAGUGGGAUGGCCCUGUCCUGCCACUCUGUUCGUUUGUGCGACUUGUCCUGUGAGAUAAAGGCUGACAGCCCAGUCAUAACUCCCGAGUCUGGGCAGUCUGAAAAGCUACUUGGUAUGUAGAUGUAGAGCCCCGAAUGGUCUUGUUUUCAGUUUGCCUCAAAGGCUGGACGGAAAAAACUUACAUCAUCAUAAACCACAGUAAACAAACAUGGAUGUGAAAUAACAAAUUGUAGAAGUGUAUCUUUCAUCUAAAGAUUUUACUUUAUUUAGGGAAGGUGAUCCUAUAAUUUAUUAUCCAAACCAGGAGACUUUCAAGAGAGAAAUGGGGCCCUAUUAAUACUUACGGCCAGGACUAUCCUGGAUGAGCUAGAGUGCAGGGCCACGCUGCAUUGAGGGGGAGGUUUAAUGGCAUUUAGGUGCAGAAUCUUACCCAACUGCAUUAAGGUAAAGUGGUCCAACCUACUUGACAAGAUUAGACCCAUUUAAGUUAAUUAAUAGCAACAUUUUUUCUUGGGGCCAUUGGGUGAUUAUUAGUAUAUUAUUAAGUAGAAUACAUUAAUUAGUUCCUGGCUAUUCUAGAGUUGGAAAUAAGCUAGCAAUUUAGCACUUCAAUUUUUUAUUCUAGAGUUGGAAAUAAGUUAGCAAUUAUUUAGUACUUCUUUUAGUUCUUGCCUUUGCAUAUCUUACUUUAAUCCUUCCCAACCCUAUGAAGUAUCCCCUUGAAAAUAUGAGAAAAGAGGGGCUUCGGAAGAAUAAGAAACUUGACCAAGAUUUUAACCCAUGUCCCGCUGACUCCAGAGCCCUGUGUACUUCUUAGGAUUUUGUUUGGUCUUUUGGUACAAUGCUUGCUUCGGAAGGCUGGGUUCUUGGCAGUUGAGAAUGAUUUCCUGAAAGACACAGUAUUUCUGCCAUAAUUUUUACUAUGUGUGGUGGUGUAGUGCCUGGCAUAUAUUUAUUUUGAAAAGUAGAGUGAGCUGAAGCAGAAAAACCACUCACAAAUAGAUGGUCUCGGGUGUUUGUAUCAAUUUGUGUUGAAAGUGCCCCUCCUCACUUGCUGAAGACAGUGGCUUUGGUGACAAUCAGGUAGGGAACGUGACGUAAAAAAGAACGAUACGGUAAAGGCUAACUUUUGAGCCCUUCCUCUGGUCUGCCUGCUGCGUGAAGCAGAGCUCCUGGGCCACACAACUGGGGCGCCGUCUGGAAGGCCUCCAGUGAUGGCCCUGGAGCUCGGAGUUCUCUUCAUUCUCCUAGCAGCCCCCUGUGUCAUUAGAUCAGGAAACCUAAGACUUGGAGAAGUAGAGUCACUUAGCAGCAGUCACAUGGCUCGUAGGUGUGGAAGCAGGGAAGCGAAUGCAGUUUCUUUCUGACCCCAGGGUCUUGUGUCUCAACUGUCCUGCUGUGUUCUGUCUGGACGAGUCAGGGAGCCAAGCUGGAGACGGGGGCUUUGCACUGCCAGAGCUCUGGUUCACCACGUACAUCAUUCAAGACUCUCUUGUUUGCAGUCAGCUGCAGCCCAUUGUGCUGGCUUAUGUAAAAGGGGAUUUAGCGUAAGGGAUCAGGAGUGUUUCAUGGUACCCGAGGACAGGAUGGCCAACUAGAUCUUUUGAAAGUCUAAGAACACGGCACUUCCCCACGGUCUUUGUCUGCACGCAACAUGAUCUUUUAUUUCUGCUUUUCUUUACACAUCACUUCAUUUUUC